AUUGAACGCUGGCGGCAGGCUUAACACAUGCAAGUCGAGCGGGGGAAGGUAGCUUGCUACCGGACCUAGCGGCGGACGGGUGAGUAAUGCUUAGGAAUCUGCCUAUUAGUGGGGGACAACAUCUCGAAAGGGAUGCUAAUACCGCAUACGUCCUACGGGAGAAAGCAGGGGAUCUUCGGACCUUGCGCUAAUAGAUGAGCCUAAGUCGGAUUAGCUAGUUGGUGGGGUAAAGGCCUACCAAGGCGGCGAUAUGUAGCGGGUCUGAGAGGAUGAUCCGCCACACUGGGACGGGGACACGGCCCAGACACCGACGGGAGGCAGCAGUGGGGAAUAUUGGACAAUGGGGGGAACCCUGAUCCAGCCAUGCCGCGUGUGUGAAGAAGGCCUUAUGGUUGUAAAGCACUUUAAGCGAGGAGGAGGCUACUUUAGUUAAUACCUAGAGAUAGUGGACGUUACUCGCAGAAUAAGCACCGGCUAACUCUGUGCCAGCCGCCGCGGUAA
rnacentral:rRNA from 1 species